CCCGCCCUGGCGCGCGGCCCCGCGGCACCCCGGCCCCACCUCGUCUUUUCCUCUUCUGCCCAUCCUGUUCUUUUAAGGAGCGCGUUUGCGGGUCUAUGAAGAUCGCGAAACCAACCGCGUUGCUGCAAAUAACCCGGCUGCGGCGGCGGGGCCGGGGGGAGGGGAGAGGCCGGCCCGGUUCGGCCCGCACGGCCCCGGGCGCCGGACCUGGUGAGAAUUACUCACCCACACUUCGUGUCGGAGAUUAGCAGCCAUGAAGAAGCAUGGGAUCGCGGCACGUGGGUGUUUUAACCAUUAACUCGCGGCUUCCCAUCUCCAGAUGCCGCCUUUCUCCGCCCUGGCAGAGAGGAGCUUUUGCAGCCUCGCGUGGAGCAAACCAUGUCCUUGCCGGCGACUCAGAUCCACAAAUCUACAGCUAAGCCGCGCCUCCGGGGCCUGCUGGCGCCGGGAUCCCAGCGUCACCGCCCCUGCUGCCCAUCCCUGGGGUGGGAAGAAUACCACCCACUCCUCCCAGUCGCUGGAGGAGAGGCAGGGAGCAGGGCGGCAGCAGGAAGGGAAAACCAGUACCGUUUACUGGUUGGCGGCUGGCUACGAACCUCUCGGGGAGCACAGAGCCUGCGCCUUCAAGGUGCAUCCUCCCCGCUGGCAGCCUGGGCUCCUUACCUGACUGUCCCUCCUCUCUGCCUCCUGGACAGCGGACGCCACCAAGACUCAGAGGCCCCGCGGAUGUCAGGCCCCGCCGCCCUUCCCUGGUGCCUCGGUCAGAGGCAGCUGCGGGUGGGUUAGUGUAACCGUGGGGAGGGCACUCUGGAUACUGAACCCUCACAAAGGGGAAGCAGCGUUCCUGCAGGAAGCCAGGCAGACAGUAACCUAACCUCGACAUGGACGUUAACCUUGGAAAUGGAACAGAUCAAAAUCAAGUCCCUGGUGGUCUAGUGGU
rnacentral:lncRNA from 1 species